ACGUAGGAGGCGAGCGUUAUCCGGAUUCACUGGGCGUAAAGCGCGUGCAGGUGGCUUGGUAAGUUAGGCGUGAAGUCUCCCGGCUCAACUGGGAGAGGUCGUCUAAUACUACCGGGCUAGAGAGCAGAAGAGGAAGAUGGAAUUCCCGGUGUAGUGGUGAAAUGCGUAGAUAUCGGGAGGAACACCAGUGGCGAAGGCGAUCUUCUGGUCUGUUUCUGACAC
rnacentral:rRNA from 1 species